GAUGAACGCUGGCGGCGUGCUUAACACAUGCAAGUCGAACGGAAAGGCCACAGCUUGCUGUGGUACUCGAGUGGCGAACGGGUGAGUAACACGUGGGUGAUCUGCCCUGUACUUCGGGAUAAGCUUGGGAAACUGGGUCUAAUACCGGAUAGGAAUCACAUGUGGGUGUGUGGUUGGAAAGCUUUUGCGGUAUGGGAUGAGCUCGCGGCCUAUCAGCUUGUUGGUGGGGUAAUGGCCUACCAAGGCGUCGACGGGUAGCCGGCCUGAGAGGGUGUACGGCCACAUGGGGACUGAGAUACGGCCCAGACUCCUACGGGAGGCAGCAGUGGGGAAUAUUGCACAAUGGGCGCAAGCCUGAUGCAGCGACGCCGCGUGGGGGAUGACGGCCUUCGGGUUGGAAACUCCUUUCGUCAGGGACGAAGCGAAAGUGACGGUACCGGGAUAAGAAGCACCGGCGAACUACGU
rnacentral:rRNA from 1 species